AUGACAAUGAUGACAGUGACAGUGAUACAGUUCCUAGAGAAGUUUCUCUGAUCGUAUAGAGCACUGAAACUAUGAGUAGGAGCCAGAGCAUCCUCUCCUGAGUAUGAAUUAGAGGUAUUGCUUUCACAACUGCCUUUUACCAUUGAAGAUCAUUCUCUGUGCCCUAGGAAGAGUGAGAAGGAGAAGAUGCAGUCUGAGUGG
rnacentral:snoRNA from 1 species